rnacentral:rRNA from 1 species
UACGUAGGGGGCAAGCGUUAUCCGGAUUUACCGGGUGUAAAGGGGGCGCAGACGGCAGCGCAAGCCAGGGGUGAAAGCCCGGGGCCCAACCCCGGGACUGCUCUUGGAACUGCGCGGCUGGAGUGCAGGAGGGGCAAUCGGAAUUCCGUGUGUAGCGGUGAAAUGCGUAGAUAUACGGAGGAACACCAGUGGCGAAGGCGGAUUGCUGGACAGUAACUGACGCUGAGGCGCGAAAGCGUGGGGAGCAAACAGG